UUCAGAUGCUGAGAGAUCAAGUGGUGGACGUCCAUAGAGGAGAGGUGAGUUAGACAUUGUCACACAUUGCAGACAGUAGACUUUGUUCUUUUACUCAUGUGUUUAUUGUGUUUGAUUGUUUCAGAUCAUGAGAGAUCAAGUGGUGGACGUCCAGAGAGGAGAGGUGAGUUAGAAACAUGCACAUUGUCAGUCAUUGUAGACAGUAGACUUUGUUGCUUUACUUAUGUGUUUCUUGUGUUUGAUGUUUCAGAUCCUGAGAGACCAAGCGGUGGACGUCCAGAGAGGAGAGGUGAGUUACACAUUGUCACACAUUGCUGCUUUAUUCAUGUGUUUGUUUUUUUCAGAUGCUGAGAGACCAAGCGGUGGACGUCCAGAGAGGAGAGGUGAGUUAGAAACAUGCACAUUGUCAGUCAUUGUAGACAGUAGACUUUUUUGCUUUACUUAUGUGUUUCUUGUGUUUGAUUGUUUCAGAUCCUGAGAGACCAAGUGGUGGACGUCCAGAGAGGAGAGGUGAGUUAGACAUUGUCACACAUUGCUGCUUUAUUCAUGUGUUUGAUUGUUUCAGAUGCUGAGAGACCAAGCGGUGGACGUCCAGAGAGGAGAGAUCCUGAGAGACCAAGUGGUGGACGUCCAGAGAGGAGAGGUGAGUUAGAAACAUGCACAGUGUAGGUGAUGGGUGUUUUGAGUUUGAUUCAUUGCUUUGUCAUAGAUUGAAGACAUGGGACUUUGAUCAUAUUUGUCUUUUAUUUGUUUCAGGAGGUUGACAGAGACAGACAGAGGUGAGUUACAACAAGGAAAUGUUAUGUAUGGUGUCACACAUUGAAGACAGCGUUGUUGAUUGUUUGCUUUUGUGUUCAUGUCUUUUAGGAGGUGUCAGAGGAUGUGCUGUGGAAGCUCUUCUUCUUCUUCUUCUUCUUCUUCUUCUUCUUCUUCUUCUUCUUCUUCUUCUUCUUCUUCUUCUUCUUCUUCUUCUUCUUCUUCUUCUUCUUCUUCUUCUUCUUCUUCUUCUUCUUCUUCUUCUUCUUCUUCUUCUUCUUCUUCUUCUUCUUCUUCUUCUUCUUCUUCUUCUUCUUCUUCUUCUUCUUCUUCUUAAUGGAAUUUCACCUAAAUAAAAAAAAAAAAAAAAAAAAAAGAGUCCAAACUGCAUUGUCGUCAAUUUUUCUGAAAAACAAAGAGGAAAGUGUGAAGAGAGAGAAAAGUAGGAAAGAGGAAAAGAGUAAAGUGUGAGAAAAAAGCAAAGAGAGAAGAGAGGAAAAAGAAGAAAGUUUAAGGAAAGAACAAAGAGAAAAAGAACAAAGUGUGAGGAAAGAGGAUAGAGGAAAAAAGACUAAGUGUGAGAGAAAAGAGGAUAGAGGAAAAAAAGACUAAGUGUGAGAGAAAAGGGGAUAGAGGAAAAAAAGACUAAGUGUGAGAGAAAAGGGGAUAGAGGAAAAAAAGACUAAGUGUGAGAGAAAAGGGGAUAGAGGAAAAAAAGACUAAUGAGAGAAAAGGGGAUAGAGGAAAAAAAGACUAAGUGUGAAAGGAAAAAAAGACUAAGGAAAGAGUGAGGAAAGAGGAAAAAGAACAAAGUGCUGCUUUACUCUUGUGUUUGAUUGUUUCAGAUGCUGAGAGAUCAAGCGGUGGACGUUCAUAGAGGAGAGAUCCUGAGAGAUCAAGUGGUGGACGUCCAGAGAGGAGAGAUCCUGAGAGAUCAAGUGGUGGACGUCCAGAGAGGAGAGGUCCUGAGAGAUCAAGUGGUGGACGUCC
ensembl:lncRNA